rnacentral:tRNA from 1 species
GAGGUGUACAAACCAUUAGAGCUGCUAACUCAAACAGCUAAGGAUAAAACCCCUUAGGCCUCUUA